AGUACCUCCGCGUCGAGGGCAGCACCACGGCGGCAUUUUUUUGGGGUUGGAUUGGAAGGCUCGCGAGGCUCAGCACCGCCAGAAAACCCUUUCUCCCCGAUAGCUGGUGCUCCCUUUCUCCCCGACGGAGCACACGCACCGCCAGUCCUUCCAGGUCCUGCUCAGUUGAAAACAAAGGGUGCCUCCCUGCUAAAGGAUUACUGUACCAAUUUAAUUAAAGGAGUUUGCCGACACCAAACAUGAUCCUUUGUGGCUUGUGAUAAGGUAUUCGGUAGCAUUUUGAGCUGUUGUUGCAGGUCUGUCGUUUUUGAGCUGUCAUUUCCUGGUAUUCGGUAGCAUUUUGAGCUGUUGUUGCAGGUCUGUCGUUUUUGAGCUGUCAUUUCCUGCUCAAUGGAGUCAACUAAUGUUACUCGAAAGAGAACAUAUGCAGACUUUUCCUACCGCCAAGUAGUUUCUAGAUUCAAAUUAUUCGAUGACAUUGAAUAUUUGGACUUGGAGAGAUUAUGGAGUGUCGUCGUUAGGGUAGAUGUCAAGUUCCCGGUCUCUCGUCAUCGUGAUAGCCAACACUUUAUUCUCAUGGAUAUCAAUGGGUCCAAGAUAGAAGCAAUUGCAUCAAACAGCAACGUUGAGAGAUUCAACACUUUACUCGCAGAAGGGUGUGUUUAUACCUUGCAUGAAGUAAGAUUCGAUCCUAACUGGGAGGAGGCAGUGCAGUUUCGG